rnacentral:rRNA from 1 species
AGCGAACGCUGGCGGCAGGCCUAACACAUGCAAGUCGAACGAAGUCUUCGGACUUAGUGGCGGACGGGUGAGUAACACGUGGGAACGUGCCUUUAGGUUGGGAAUAACUCAGGGAAACUUGUGCUAAUACCGAAUGUGCCCUUCGGGGGAAAGAUUUAUCGCCUUUAGAGCGGCCCGCGUCUGAUUAGCUAGUUGGUGAGGUAAAGGCUCACCAAGGCGACGAUCAGUAGCUGGUCUGAGUGGAUGAUCAGCCACAUUGGGACUGAGACACGGCCCAAACUCCUACGGGAGGCAGCAGUGGGGAAUCGUGCGCAAUGGGCGAAAGCCUGACGCAGACAUGCCGCGUGAAUGAUGAAGGUCUUAGGAUUGUAAAAUUCUUUCACCGGGGACGAUAAUGACGGUACCCGGAGAAGAAGACCCGGCUAACUUCGUGCCAGCCGCCGCGGUAA